AUUGAACGCUGGCGGCAUGCCUUACACAUGCAAGUCGAACGGCAGCACGGGAGCAAUCCUGGUGGCGAGUGGCGAACGGGUGAGUAAUAUAUCGGAACGUGCCCGGUCGUGGGGAUAACGUAGCGAAAGCUACGCUAAUACCGCAUACGAUCUACGGAUGAAAGCGGGGGAUCGCAAGACCUCGCGCGAUUGGAGCGGCCGAUAUCAGAUUAGGUAGUUGGUGAGGUAAAGGCUCACCAAGCCGACGAUCUGUAGCUGGUCUGAGAGGACGACCAGCCACACUGGGACUGAGACACGGCCCAGACUCCUACGGGAGGCAGCAGUGGGGAAUUUUGGACAAUGGGCGCAAGCCUGAUCCAGCAAUGCCGCGUGCAGGAUGAAGGCCUGGUGU
rnacentral:rRNA from 1 species